rnacentral:rRNA from 1 species
GGUGAGAAUAGCUAUAGGGAUACACCUGGUCACAUAUCGAACCCAGAAGUUAAGCCUAUAAACGCUGAAAGUACUUGGGGGGCAGCCCCCUGGGAGGAUAGG